UUGUCUUUUGUUUCAGAAAUCCCUGCUAUGUGCUUGUCACAGGAGAGGCACUCAACAAAUGUCAGCUGAAUGUAUCAAUAGAACCCACACAAGUUCAAACAUCACAUUCAAGUAACAAGAUGUUUAGCUGGGCACAUGGCCACUCAAAAUGAAGACUUCAUUCUUGGCCUGCCUUGCAGGAAGAUAUGGCCACGUGACUGAGAUCUGGCCUAUGGAAUGUGAAUAGAAAUAUAUUGCACCUCCCCCUUUCUUCUUCUUCUGAUCAUUUUAUCCAGUUUCUUGGAACUUGGAUCGGCUGCUGAAACUCCAUCUCAUAUUAUGAGGGGAAAGGCCAUAGUCCACUAGAGUUACUGGUAUAGGAAGCUGGAAAAAGCCUGUGUCCCCAAGGAAUUUUUUGAGCAACGCUAUCAUGUCACUCCUGGAUUGACUGCCUACAAGACAUUUUUAAAUGUGAGAUAAAUAAACCUUCAUAUUUUUAAUCAACUAUUUUUUUCUUCUUUUACUUGAAGCAGUAUUUUAUUCUAACUAAAACAAAUUAAGAACUAAAAUUUAGUAAACCUAAGGUAUUUCAUUGCAUCAAAAAACUUAUGAAAUAAUUUAACACUGUAAUUAUCGAACAUAAAUAGAUAAGCUAACAAAAGGAUAUGUAGGAUGACAAAAUGAACUCAUCCAGCAGUUUCAAAAAUCAUGUCAGUCUUUAAUUUUUUAAAUUUGAACUAUGCUAUACAUAGAAUAUAAUAUACAUAAUUGCACAUGUACAAUUUUUAAAAAUUAGGAUGAAAUGAGCACCUAUAUGACCACUGCUAAAAUUAACAAAUAAAGCACCCACUCUCAGUAUCUUUAGAGCCUUCUGUGUACUCCUCACUAAUACAUCCCUCUCCUUGGUCUAUAUCCCAAAUGUAACUGCUUCCCCAGCUUUGUGUUAAUCAAUCACAUAUUCUGCAAUGUAUUUUUAUCUGCAAGUAACAUCAGAAAAGUUUGUUUAGAAUUCGUUGUUUUUUAGCAUGACAUAAAUUGAGUCAUAUCAGUGCUUUAAUUUUAAUAUUGAACGAGAAAAAAUACAACAUUGACUAAUUCAAGUUUGAUAUUCCCACGGAAUGUUUGGGCACCAUAGACCCACCAAAAGUUUUCCCAAGAAUGAAUGAGUCUUAAGAUUCCUUAAGAUCCCAGUUGCAACAUUCUUCAAAUAAUAGUUAUUGAUUAGUGUAAACAACUCCUCAUCUGCACUCUGAAUUAUAAGGGAUUUUGAUUUGAACCAUUUCGAUUGAGCCUAUAUAAAUUUGCUGUAAAUCAUGAGAGUAUGCUCUAAAGAUAUUUCAUCAUAGCUUAUAUAUCAUUUUUUUCUUUGUCAGAAUUGAAGGCAAGGCUGAAUAAUUAUAAUCAUGUUUAUAUUUAAAUCCAGAAAUAUUACUUUCUCUAUCAUUAUGAAACUAGUGGUUUAACAUGUUUAUUAAUGAUUUCACCCAAAAGACACUUCAAAACAGACAUUAUUGCUACUUGUUUAGUUUUAAUCUUCCAAGAUAAUGACAUAUAUGUUCUGCCAUAAUUUUUGUCUAAUUUUUGUACCCAUUUGUAUCUUUCUUAAUUGCCUAAUUAAAAGAGUGUAACGCAGGUUUUAUAAGUUGAAUUAUUGCUGAGAUACCUUAUGCUUACAAUAUUAUGUGUGUGUGUAUGAAUUUCUAAUCUGUGUCAGGUCAUAAUCAUUUCAGUUUCAAUGAGUUAGGAGUGACAGCUGCUUAGGAAACAACUUGUUUCUAUUAAAGCUAGCAUAUUUGUCAUUAGAGUAAGGAUCUCUUUGGCAGUUUAUUUUGUAUUGUUAAUAAUUAUCAUUAUUUUGACUAUAGGGCAUUUAAUUUCCACAUUUAACAUUUGGUACUGUUAUGUAAGCAACUGACUCAUAAAAUAAAAUCCAAACUGUCAACAUUUUUGCAAUCAUAGGGAGGACAAGUAAGCAAAUUAGAUGAAUACAAGACCUAAAUUAAGGGGCAUGUGAAUCAUACAGAAUUUAUUAAUAAGAAUGUGGAUGAACUAUAGCACUUCAUUCUAUAUUGAUGCUGAAUUAGAGUUCAUUUGACUUAUGGUAGUUACUAAAAUGUCCUUUUUCUUUUUUAUUAAAAAUGGGGAUAUCAACCA
rnacentral:lncRNA from 1 species